GUCUCCCUGCUAUGUGCGAUAGUUUUUGGUCAAUUUUGAGCUAACACCUAUUAAGAAAGAGCUAAUCCUCCUGAUGUGAAAUGGUAUCCUUAAAAUAAGGAGGCAGGAAGCAUUAGGGUGCGCUCCAUUUUGAAAUAGAGUUCAAAUAGCUAAAGACACACCGGCAUAAGUGGGGAGAUU
rnacentral:other from 1 species